rnacentral:lncRNA from 1 species
ACCGAUUCGCUUCUCACCUGUUAAAACUCCGGUGAAGAACUUCAACAAAACGAUGAGGAACACUCCGAUUACAAGAUCAAAACGGAAAAGAGAAAGUUCUAGAUAAUUCUUAAGAAAGCAGAAAUGAGCACAUGCUCGUUAUAAAGAGAAAGUCGCAGCCCAAAGAUUCCUCUGCGUAACAAACUUCACACGCGCUUUCAAUAACCAUUCAACACGUGUAAUCCCAAGUUGCACCAACAUCCCCCAAUAUGAGACUUCCACGUGUAUCCUCUGUUUUCCUAUAUCAAAUCCUCCCUCGCCGAAGAACCUUGACCACAAUGUUCAAAAUCAGGAAAGCGGCGUUGUAAAUCGAAAAGGAAUUCCCACGUAGCCUCUUCCGGCGUCUCAUUAGACCAUUGAACUAGAACCUUAGUUACUGCGCGCCCCUGUCUUUUAACCAUGCCACGCUCGAGAAUGCGGACUGGUAUCUUGUGCAAGACGUCACAGACAACAGAAGGUAACUGAGAGGAAGUAGUUGCAGUACCUACUAACUUCUUGAGCUGGGACCACAGAGCCUUGAGGGUAGGGUUGCAGCAUGACAAAAACAGAGUCCCCGAUGUUAAACUGUCGCUCAGUCCUGUGUUGAUCUGCUAGUUGUUGCAUACGAUGUUGAGCCCGCAACAAGUGGAAUUUCAAGAUGAGUAUCAUACUUUCCCUUUCCUCCAAACUUCUUGCCACCACAUCCACUUUUGAUUCACCAGGCAAAUAAGGCAAAUGCAGAGGAGGGGAUUGACCAUAAACGGCUUCAAAGGGGCUCAUUUGAGUGGCAGAGUGAAAUGUUGUAUUAUACCAGAACUCUGCUAAAGGUAACCAUUUACUCCACAUCUCAGGGCGCUCACUACACAUACAGCGAAGAUAAGUCUCAAGGCAUCGAUUGACAACCUCAGUUUGUCCAUCACUUUGAGGGUGAUAGGCGCUUGAGAAAUUGAGUGAUGUUCCUUGGAGACUGAACAAUUCCUUCCAAAAUGUUCUCAAGAAGACAGUAUCAUGAUCACUAACAAUUGUUUUUGGGCAACCAUGUAACUUGAAGACAUUAUCCAAGAAAACUUGAGCCACUGACAUAGCUGAAUAGGGAUGUGACAGAGCCAUGAAGUGAGCCGCUUUGCUUAAUCGAUCCACCACGACAAAUAUUACUGUCUUUCCACUAGAAGGAGGUAAACCAUCGAUGAAAUCCAUGGAAAUGUCAGUCCAGAUAGUCUCCGGAAUGUGCAGAGGCUGAAUCAGACCCGGAGAAGCUACUGUCUCAUAUUUGCAUCGCUGACAAACCACACAACUGCGAAUAAACUGUUGAAUAUCCUUAGACAUACCUUUCCAAUAAAAUAGACUUUUGACCCGCUGAUGAGUAGCAUCCCUUCCAGAGUGGCCACUGCUACCAGACCCAUGUAACCAUUGUAAGAUUGAAUUCUUAAGAUUCACACUCGCAGGGAUCACAAUUUUACUCUUCCUUCUUAAUAUGCCUUGUCCCCAAGAGUAAUGCCUGCGUGAUAACUUGUCCUUUUUCAAAGCUUCAAUUAUAUCUUGUAUCAGAGGAUCAGAAAUGUACUGAGCUUGUAUGUCUUUCAUGAGAUCACAUUCCAAAACUGUCAUGGCCAUGUGUAACACUUCAGAACCUUCCACUCUUGACAAAGCAUCAGCCACCAGAUUCUCCUUCCCUUGCUUAUACUGAAUUUCAUAAUCAAACUCCAACAGUUUGGGUAACCAUUGUUGCUGAAUAGGUGUGUUUAACCUUUGUUCCAACAGAUACUUUAGACUGCGUUGAUCCGUCUUGAUAAUAAAGUGAUUAAGCAACAAGUAAUGGCGCCAUUUUUGCACUGCAAAGACCACCGCCAACAGUUCUUUUUCAUAAAUGGACAAGUGCAGCUGUCUUCCUUUCAAAUGUCGACUGAUGUAUGCGAGAGGAUUACCAUCUUGCAUCAACACUGCUCCUAUGCCCUGACCACACGCAUCAGUUUCUACAACAAAUGCCUUGUCAAACAUAGGUAGAGCCAACACUGGAGCUUGACAAAGAGCUAUUUUUAAUGUCUCAAAUGCCAACUGAGACUCAUUUGACCAUACAAAAGCAUCUUUCAUCGUUAAGAAAGUCAGAGGUUUAGCAAUGAUACCAAAGUUUUUGAUAAAACGUUGAUAGUAGCCAGCCAAUCCCAAGAAUCCCCGGAGUUGCUUCAAGUUAGAUGGUGUUGGCCAAUCUGCAACUACUUUAAUCUUAUUAGGGUCUGUAGAAAUUCCCUUCUCCUCAAUAUAAUGACCCAAGUACUCCACUCUGUCAGUAGCAAAAUCACACUUGCUGCGUUUAGUAAAAAGUCUAUGCUGUUGCAUCAAUUCAAAAACAGCCUCCAAGUUCUUGAUGUGCAUUUCAACAGAAGAACUGUACACCAAAAUGCCGUCAAAGAAAACAAGGACAAAUUUGCGCAAGAAAUCCUUGAAAACUGAAUUCAUAAGACCUUGAAAUGUUGCAGGAGCGUUAGUUAAGCCAAAGGGCAUGACCACAUACUCAUAAUGUCCACAAUGAGUCUUGAAAGCAGUUUUGUGAAUAUCUGCGGGUUCCAUUCUGACUUGAUGGUAUCCAGCUCUUAAAUCAAUUUUUGAGUAAAACUUAGACCCUCCCAACUCAUCCAUAAGGUCUUCAAUUAAUGGAAUAGGAAACCUAUUCUUUACUGUCUUCCCAUUCAAACUCCUAUAGUCCACACAAAGCCGCCAAGACCCAUCCUUCUUUUUGACUAAAACCACCGGAGAGGCGUAUGGACUAGAGCUAGGUUGUAUAGUACUAUUUGUUAACAUUUCCUUCACCAUGUUAUCGAUUUCAUUCUUUUGGUAUAACGCAUAGCGGUAAGGACGUUGAUUCACCGGAUCAGAACCUUCCAAGAGAGGAAUCUUGUGGUUGUGAUUAUCUCGAAAUGGAGGUAAAGAUGUAGGUUCCUCAAAUAUAUCCUGAAAUUUCUCCAACAAGGGUCUUACCGCUGGAUGCUCCUCUUUCUCCUUUGUAGCUUCUAGUGAACAGACCAUCAUAUCAUUGUUCUGUUCUGCAUCAACAUUUUGAACAUAGAUCAUUGAUAUCUGAGCUUGACUCUCCCUCUUCUUGUUAAGUUUAACUGCUUUUACUUCCCUUACAGAACCAUCUUUAAUCCCAUGAAGCAACACCUUCUUUUUCUUGUACACAAACCCCAUCUCAAGAGUCUUGAAAUCCCAAGAUAUCGGACCCAAAGAUUGCAGCCACUGGAAUCAGCAUGAAGUCAUCUGUGAAUGUGGUAGUUUGAAAAGUCCAAGUAAAUUGAUCCACCUUGCCAUGUACUCUAAUUCUACCCCCAUCAGCCACAGCAACCUGAGACGACAACCCUGAAUUUUGCACAAUGCAACCCAACUGUGCAGAUAUUUUCACAUCCAUGAAAUUGUGAGUUGAACCAGAAUCAAUGAGAAUAAAAAUGAACUUCUUGUUAUGUACCCCUUUAACCCUCAUAGUAGUAUAGUCUGACAACCCAUGGACUGCAUUGACUGAUACUCUUGGAACUGUCUGCCCUCCUUCCUGUGGAUCAAGGGAAUCUUCCUCUACUGUAGUAUCAUCCUGCAUCAUCAUCCACUUCAAUCAUAAAGAGUUGUGUCUUCUUAUGUGUUAAAAAAUGUUCUGGAGUGAACUUUUCAUCACAAUAAUAACACAAUCCCUUUGCCCUGCGUUCACUCAUUUCAGCACUGUUAAGAAACUUCUUAGGUGGAAUACUAGUAGAGCCCCCAUUAGUAACCACUGCACCAGAACCCUUCCCAUAAGAACUCUCACGUCUUGGUGGUGCUGUACUCUUCGUGUGUUGUAUGGGUGCGGAAUUCCUCACCUGCGAGCCUUGAGACACUGGUUUAUGAGGAUGAGCCUUCUCAUACAACCUCCCCAGCUUCAAGCACUCUCUCACCGUCUUUGGAGCAAACAUUCUCACAUGCAUUUGGGUGUCCAAACGUAACCCUGCCAAAUAUGCACUUACCAAGUAAUCCUCUGAGAGAUUAACCCGAGUGCGUAUGAGUUCAAAUUUCUCAUGAUACAUCACAAUACCAUCAGUCUCCUGUAGUUGUUUAAGCUCAGCAAUCGGAUCCUCUAAGACAUCUUCAAAGCGAUCACGUACAACCAUCUUGUAAGAUCCCCAUUCCACCAACACACCUUUUUCCAUCUGAGACUGUAACCAAGCAUGAUGCCAAGUUGACGCCACACCAUCAAAAUGGAUGGAAGCCAUCCUCACUUUCAACUCAUGGGGUGUACAAUCAAUUCCAAAGAAUUCUUCCACCUUAGACAACCAAUCUGCUACUUGUUCACCAUUAAAUCUGGGAAAAUCUACCUUACUCAAACGUGUUAACCCAGAAUAGUUAGAUCGACCACAACGUGUUUGAUCAAAUGACUCAACCACUCCUUUUGACCCCGUUGAUAAACUCGGAGACCCAUGAUGAAACUGUGGGGCCGCAGAAGUAGAUGCAUUAGUCACCGUCAGUUUUCUGAUCGCAUCGAACAUAUCAGCAAGAUCGCAAUUCACCUUUUGAUUUUGAGCACGCAUCGAUCCUUCUAACGCCAUAGUUCUCUCCAUCAUCUGCUUGAUCCGCGAACUCAACAACUCCUCUGUUCCUUGUACCUCUGUUCCUUUCGCCUUUGUUUCAUGAUUUCCACCCUGAGCUCGUGUUUCCACAACCAUCACGUCCGAGAAACGGAUAGCUCUGAUACCACUUUGAUACAUAAAACUUAGUAAGAUUCAAGAGAAAACAUUCCUUUAUUGAUAAACUGAAUCUAUGUUCAUAAAACACCGAUUCGCUUCUCACCUGUUAAAGCUCCGGUGAAGAACUUCAACAAAACGAUGAGGAACACUCCGAUUACAAGAUCAAAACGGAAAAAAGAAAGUUCUAGAUAAUUAUUAAGAAAGCAGAAAUGAGCACAUGCUCGUUAUAAAGAGAAAGUCGCAGCCCAAAGAUUCCUUUGCGUAACAAACUUCACACGCGCCUUCAAUAACCAUUCAACACGUGUAAUCCCAAGUUGCACCAACAUCCCCCAAUAUGAGACUUCCACGUGUAUCCUC